rnacentral:rRNA from 1 species
AGUGAACGCUGGCGGUAGGCCUAACACAUGCAAGUCGAACGGCAGCACAGAGGAGCUUGCUCCUUGGGUGGCGAGUGGCGGACGGGUGAGGAAUACAUCGGAAUCUACUCUGUCGUGGGGGAUAACGUAGGGAAACUUACGCUAAUACCGCAUACGACCUACGGGUGAAAGCAGGGGACCUUCGGGCCUUGCGCGAUUGAAUGAGCCGAUGUCGGAUUAGCUAGUUGGCGGGGUAAAGGCCCACCAAGGCGACGAACCGUAGCUGGUCUGAGAGAAUGCUCAGCCACACUGGAACUGAGACACGGUCCAGACUCCUGCGGGAGGCAGCACUGGGGAAUAUUGGACAAUGGGCGCAAGCCUGAUCCAGCCAUACCGCGUGGGUGAAGAAGGCCUUCGGGUUAUAAAGCCCUUUUGUUGGGAAAGAAAUCCAGCUGGCUAAUACCCGGUUGGGAUGACGGUACCCAAAGAAUAAGCACCGGCUAACUUCGUGCCAGCCGCCGCAGUAA